rnacentral:rRNA from 1 species
GGAAACGACUGCUAAGACUGGAUAGGAAAUAAAAAGGCAUCUUUUUAUUUUUAAAAGACCUUCUUCGGAGGGUAUGCUUAAAGAGGGGCUUGCGCCACAUUAGUUAGUUGGUGAGGUAAAGGCUCACCAAGAUUAUGAUGUGUAGCUGGACUGAGAGGUUGAACAGCCACAUUGGGACUGAGACACGGCCCAAACUCCUACGGGAGGCAGCAGUAGGGAAUUUUCGGCAAUGGAGGAAACUCUGACCGAGCGACGCCGCGUGAACGAUGAAGUAUUUCGGUAUGUAAAGUUCUUUUAUUGAAGAAGAAAAAAUAAUGGAAAAAUUAUCUUGACGUUAUUCAAUGAAUAAGCCCCGGCUAACUAUGUGCCAGCAGCCGCGGUAAGACAUAGGGGGCGAGCGUUAUCCGGAAUUAUUGGGCGUAAAGGGUGCGUAGGCGGUUAAAUAAGUCUAUAAUUUAAUUUCAGUGCUUAACGCUGUCUUGUUAUAGAAACUAUUUUGACUAGAGUGAGAUAGAGGCAAGCGGAAUUCCAUGUGUAGCGGUAAAAUGUGUAAAUAUAUGGAGGAACACCAGAAGCGUAGGCGGCUUGCUGGGUCUUUACUGACGCUGAGGCACGAAAGCGUGGGGAGCAAACAGGAUUAGAUACCCUGGUAGUCCACGCUGUAAACGAUGAGUACUAAGUGUCGGGGUAACUCGGUACUGAAGUUAACACAUUAAGUACUCCGCCUGAGUAGUACGUACGCAAGUAUGAAACUUAAAGGAAUUGACGGGACUCCGCACAAGCGGUGGAUCAUGUUGUUUAAUUCGAAGAUACACGAAAAACCUUACCAGGUCUUGACAUACUCUGCAAAACUAUAGAAAUAUAGUGGAGGUUAUCAGGGAUACAGGUGGUGCAUGGUUGUCGUCAGUUCGUGUCGUGAGAUGUUAGGUUAAGUCCUAAAACGAACGCAACCCCUUUCGUUAGUUGCCAGCACGUAAUGGUGGGGACUUUAGCGAUACUGCCAAUUAAAAGUUGGAGGAAGGUGGGGAUAACGUCAAAUCAUCAUGCCCCUUAUGAUCUGGGCUACAAACGUGAUACAAUGGCCGUUACAAAGAGUAGCUGAAACGCGAGUUCUUAGCCAAUCUCAAAAAGACGGUCUCAGUCCGGAUUGAAGUCUGCAACUCGACUUCAUGAAGCUGGAAUCGCUAGUAAUCGCGAAUCAGCAUGUCGCGGUGAAUACGUUCUCGGGGUUUGUACACACCGCCCGUCAAACCAUGAAAGUUAGCAAUACCCGAAAGCAGUGGCUUAACUUCGUAAGAAGAGGGAGCU